AGAGUUUGAUCCUGGCUCAGGAUGAACGCUGGCGGCGUGCUUAACACAUGCAAGUCGAACGAUGACCCCCAGCUUGCUGGGGUGAUUAGUGGCGAACGGGUGAGUAACACGUGAGUAACCUGCCCUUAACUCUGGGAUAAGCCUGGGAAACCGGGUCUAAUACCGGAUAUUUACCCCCGACCGCAUGGUGCGGGGGUGGAAAGCCUUGUGCGGUUUUGGAUGGACUCGCGGCCUAUCAGCUUGUUGGUGAGGUAAUGGCUCACCAAGGCGACGACGGGUAGCCGGCCUGAGAGGGUGACCGGCCACACUGRGACUGAGACACGGCCCAKACUCCUACGGGAGGCAGCAGUGGGGAAUAUUGCACAAUGGGCGAAAGCCUGAUGCASCGACGCCGCGUGAGGGAUGACGGCCUUCGGGUUGUAAACCUCUUUCAGUARGGAAGAAGCGAAAGUGACKGUACCUGCAGAAGAAGCGCCGGCUAACUACGUGCCAGCAGCCGCGGUAAUACGUAGGGCGCAAGCGUUAUCCGGAAUUAUUGGGCGUAAAGAGCUCGUAGGCGGUUUGUCGCGUCUGCCGUGAAAGUCCGGGGCUCAACCCCGGAUCUGCGGUGGGUACGGGCAGACUAGAGUGAUGUAGGGGAGACUGGAAUUCCUGGUGUAGCGGUGAAAUGCGCAGAUAUCAGGAGGGACACCGAUGGCGAAGGCAGGUCUCUGGGCAUUAACUGACGCUGAGGAGCGAAAGCAUGGGGAGCGAACAGGAUUAGAUACCCUGGUAGUCCAUGCCGUAAACGUUGGGCACUAGGUGUGGGGGACAUUCCACGUUUUCCGCGCCGUAGCUAACGCAUUAAGUGCCCCGCCUGGGGAGUACGGCCGCAAGGCUAAAACUCAAAGGAAUUGACGG
rnacentral:rRNA from 1 species